AUCCAUCCAUCCAUCCAUCUAUUCUUUCUAUCAAUUGUUUACUCCAUCCAUACAAUCUAUCCAUCCUUCUAUCUAUCUAUCUAUCUAUCUAUCUAUCUAUCUAUCUAUCUAUCUAUCUAUCUAUCUAUCUAUCUAUCUAUCUAUCUAUCUAUCUAUCUAUCCAUCAGUAAUUUUAAAUUGUUUACCAUCACUGAAAAGUGGUUUAACUGUUUUGAGAACAUUGUAAUUUGCCUAGCUUAUGCCUUUAUCCAUCACAACAAUUAUAAUGUCGUUACCUGUGUGAAAUAACACUAUUUAAAUGCAUUAUUUAGCAUAAUGCUCCUUUGACUCAGUCAAGGCAGAUGAGGCUGUAGGCUGAUGAUUGAAUCUCUGUCCAUGGUACUGAAGAUCACUUUGUAGUCCAGCAAUCCUCCAGAUUGAUUCUGCAGUUCUCCGCAGGUGCAGAGCAGUCUGACUCUCAUUAACUGAUAGCAGCUGAGAUGGAAAUAUCAGCAGGGAAAAAGUGAAUCAGAGCUCAGCCAGGAGACUGUCACACAGUGGCUUUAGCCCUGCGGAUAUUAGAUGUAAAGGCCUGCAUGGUCUUGCUGGGACACAGUGUAAGUUGUUACUGCCACUGACCACCACUUCCUUCCAGAGGAUGAAGUAGCAAAGUAGGACAGUAAAGCUGAUAAGACUCUGACACUUUUAAAGUUUCACAGAAGUACAAUGAAACACCUCAGAGUUUCUGUCAAAUGUGAUUUCUGGUAUUAGGUCAGAUGCAGAGCUAAGUCAAGGCUCUGCAGCAUGUUUUUCAUUAUUAGUCUAAUAAAAGUACCUUCUUGUAUAUUUUAUAGCACUUCUGUAGCUCAAACAAAGCAAUGGCUUUGGUUUUAAAUACAAUGCAAUGUACUGUAAGCUGCUUUGGGUGGAUGUAAUUUUCAAAUUCAGAAAUGUAAAUAAAUUGACCCAAUUUACUUUGUCAAAAGGAUAUGGUUUACUAAAAAAUGACAAAUGAAAUUCUCUCCGAGCAUUAUCUCAAUAUUAAAAUAAUACAAAAUAUUGUCCUUCAGUUCAAAUGGACUAUUUCAUCUAUUCAUUUAAUUGUUCUUAAUACUCAGCUCAUGCCUCAGACGACUCGCCCACAAUAGGGUAGAGGAAAUCUAAUCAUAGGAGCUCACCGCUUCCGUUUAUCAGGCCUGGAGGGGACCUGCUCAUUUGCAUAUUCAUAAUGCUGUUCUCCAUUGUUGUGAGGACUUAAGAGAUGAGCUACAGCAUAGCACUGGGAGUACAGCCCUGUUCAACAACCACAUAAACUGCUAAUUACCCACAGAAUCAGGUCAAGCAAGACGUCCGAGCUGAAAACCUCUUACGAUAAGAUCUAAUUACAGCAUGACCUAUUAACACAGUGUAAUUUUGGUGAAUAAAAAUAAUCAACAUAAAUGUGAUGCGUUCUUGAUAAUCUAUCAAAGAUCAGUAUGGACUCAUUAGUUGAUCUUAAUGGCUCUUCAUUCAUUUCGGUAUUUCCAGAAACUAUUAAAAGAUAUCUGACAGCAAGUUUCAAAAAAGCCUUGAGACUAAUGAUGCUUUUUACUUUGUUGGAUUUGCCUUUAAUCAGCCGAGAUGUGCUUGACCGUCAUGUCAGAGUUUUAGUCAUUAGUCUUUGUGAUGACUGAAAGACAGUGGACUAAAUAAAUUGGAAGUCUUCAAUGAAAGCUUUAAAUAGAGAUGAUGUUUUAGUUUUGAGAACUAUUCAAAUAGAUGCUUUUUGAAAACCGCAUCUUUUCAUGUUUUCCAUGAAUAACAAAACUGCAGCCAUGUUUUCAAGUGUUUAUUCCUUUUUUUCUCCACUGUCUAAUUUUCCAUCCACCUUGCAAUUUUGAGACAUGGCCUUCUUAUCCGCCUGCUGAAAGAGAGCCUCUGAUGGAGCUAGAUUGGAUGUAAUGACAUCUCUUCAUCUGAAUCCUGUAGACCAAUCAUAAGGUUUAAAGAAGAGGUGGACGGCACAUUAUAGAGUGUCAGAGCUGUUAGUGUUAACACACAGAAUGGCAAAUUCCUAUUAGAGCAAACAGCCAGACAUUACAGACAGAUGCCCUGCUCCCAGAGGAGGUCAUUAUUGCACUGGCUGAGCUAGACUCACUGCAAGGAGGAAGUUUCGUGUACGACACUCUUCUGAAAGCAGUUGCAGACGAGUGGCUGACGAAAAACUGGAGUGAUGUAGAUUGAGCAUGAAAAUAAUGGAUUAUCAUGAUGUUAAAUGUCCUGGAGGAAUGUCGGAUGAUAUAUCUAGAUGGGUUUGAAAUGUGAUAAAUCCAGCUGACAGAGUAGUCCUGACCUUAAGGCACUAGAAUAUGACAGCAACUAAUGGUGAAAUUUGACAGACCACAGAGGAAUAUUGUGGGACUUGAAACACCUGCAGCAUAAUGUACCUUUUACAUCACUUUUCAGAGCAUUUCAAUGACUGUUUUCUUGCACUGAGAUGCUCCAGGAGUUCUAAUAACAAAAAAUGUAAAUAAUUACUCACCCUCAUGUCGUUCUACACCCGUAAGACCUUGGUUCAUCUUCGAAACACAAAUUAAGAUAUUUCUGAUGAAAUCCGAUGGCUCAGUGAGGCUUCUAUUGCCAGCAAUGUUACUGAACACAUCUUCGAAACACAAGAUCUUUUUGAUGAAAUCAGAGUGAUUUUUGUCUAAUCACUUUUUUUUAGUAAACUUUUUUAGUAAAACAAAAUGAAAAUAAACUUAACUUGAAAUUAAAUGACUGGAAUAGAUUGGUUUUAAAAAGUGUUUUAAAAUUUAAAAAAUAAAAUAAAAUUAAUACUAAUUCUUUAAAUGCAAACAUUACAUUGAAAUAUUUCAUUUUUAAGUGGUCUUUAAAUAUGGCCUUAAAUUGACCUUAAAGAGGUAAAACUGUAUGUAAACAAGUUUACAGAUUUGUCUUUAUUCUCCCAUGUCCACUGUGGUAAAGUGGUAUUUUGUGAGUCUGGGAGAGAUGUCCCAUGGGAUACAGAAGUUCACUACAGAGCCAGCCAAUUAUGUAGCUUAAACUUUGGCUGAAUGCAAAUGCAGCCUGUUCUUUGCUGCCACUGACUGCUGAAGCCCUUCAGCAGUGUGGAAACUGACAGCCUGUAAGUUUUUGCUGUAUCCUUAAACAAAACAUACAUCUACAGAUCCCUCCAUACAGUAGGCUCCAUCCUUAUUAUCUCAAUUUACAGUUAAGUGUUUGUUUUUACUUUUUUUUUUUUUUUUUUUGUACCUGAUGUAAGAUGUAGUAUAGGUUAGCCAUGUAUAAGUUUGUGAUUACUCUUCAAAAUCAAACUGACUUAAUAAUAUACGUGGUAUAUUUUUCAGUGCAUGACAGUCUGAGCUCUCUGUGGUGGUCUUAAUUGCAUCUUGCAGUCAGUGGUUGUCAGAGGUGCCUAUGACAGCGGUGUAUUCCAUAGGGAGUGGUAAUCACCUGACUGAUAGAACAGCUCUGCGUGCAUCUGUCUUCCGCUUGUUGUAACGUGAUGAUAAAGAAUUAGGCAGCCUUUCAUGCAGCCUUUGAUGUCUCCAGCAUCUUAAUCUGGCUCUCACCUUGUGUGUGCUUCCGUCUCAAAUGUUUAUUUUCUAAUGCCUGUGUCAUACGUUCAGAGCAAAUGGUCCAAUUCAAAUAUUUGGGAUUUUAAAUAGUUAGUUCACCCAAAAAUGAAAAUUCUCUCAUUAAUUACUCACCUUCAUGUCGUUUCAAAACCGUAAGACUUUCAUUCACCUUCAUAACAUAAAUGAAGAUCUUUUUGAUUAAAUCUGAGAGCUUUCUGUCCUUCCAUAGACAGCCUAUGCAAUUGAAACUUUGACGCUUCAAAAAGUUCAUAAGGAGAUCAGAAAACUAAUCCAUGGCUGAGGUAUCUUAUUGAUUUAAGGUUUCAUUCCUGAUGUUUUUCUUGGUAUAACAUGAAUGCUUUUGAAAAUAAACUGAAAAACAAAUCUUUUAAAAAGGUCACCUUGAGAGAUUGCACUUAUAUGUCAUGUUUACCAGGAGAAUUUAAUAAUGCGCCCAACGCCAACAACACGAUGAUUACUUGGAGCUCAGUCUAUGCAUAGUGCAUUAGUACAUUCUUGAAACACUCAUUUCAUCUCAAAAUGUGAAGAGGGUUGAAAAGGAAAUCGAACAGAUAUGGAAUCAAGACCCUGUUCCUCUGGGCACCACUCUAGAAAGUUCUAUUGACGGUCACUGCUAACCAACCAUGCACAAUGCCUCUUUUGACUUUAAAUGAUUGUGGGUUAUUCGUUGGACGUGACAAAUGGCCUGGACUGAAACUGGGUUCCAGCAACACAUAAUAGGGGGCUACGGUGGCACAGAGGAAUGAACAGAGGUGCCUUUGACUGUUGACCCCGACAGCACAGGGUAAUAGAGGUGUGCCGAGGAAAGAUAGCCUAUGUCGCAUGAAAUAAAAUGAAAAAAAAAAAAAAAAAAAUUCACAAAGUGUUGUGCAACAUGUUAUAUUUUGUCUGUACUCUCAGACUAUGGACAACAUCAUCGGCGCCAGUUGCAAAUAGAGACACGCUAUGGAAAAUGAGUAAUUGAUUUAGUAUUAAAAUCAAUAUUACACACAUAAACAUGUAAUUGAAUGUCUAGGGGUGUUGGCUUCAUAAUCGUCAGCAUAAACUGCUACAUCAAUCAAUCGUGAUGAAAUGAAGGGAUGUUUUCGCAAACAAAUCAGCCCCCGGUGUCGAUAAGUCACACAGCUUGUAUAUUUUCUUGCAGAUUCAAGAAACAGCAGUGGAUAUUAUAGAUAAUUUGAUAUUUUUCUUGAAUUUCCUACUUAGGAAAAUGAAAGGUCAGCCCAGUUCACAUGGCAAACUGACUCAAUUUAAAAGCAGAUCACUAGAGGGGAGCAAACAAUGGCAAGCAAUCUCAAAUCGUCUUUCACAGGGUUGAGGGAGUUAUCACACACAGAAAUUAUGACCAGUAAUAACAUACACAGACUCACACACACACAUCAUUGUGUUAGCUUUCCAUUACACUGCUUACUAAUGGUGUUUGUUUGGAGGUGAUUGAUAUUUCACCACCAGCUUUGACUUAAUCGGAAAGGGUAGAGCUCCAGGUAAUGUGGUGUAUAAUGAUAAUGAUUCAUACACUAGAGCCGUCAAUCAGUAAGUUAACUUAAAUAAAGAAAUCUGUUUAGGUAUUUGCAUGGCCUGUUUUUGCUUUGCCCUUCAAGAUUUAUGUCAUACAACAGAUUCAUUUCUGUUUAAUGCAAUGCACUCAAAUUCUGCUUUUGUUUUCCUUUAGGGUUGGACAAAAUUCAGAAAUCACUCCCUUUUGGAUUUUCCAGUGGUGUAAUUUUAAUUGAAUUGGCAACAUAUCACAAGAAGUUGAAUUGGAAUUUGAUAGGAACUGAACUGGGAACUGAAAUAUAAUUCAACAGAUUAAAUUCCAGUUCCAACACUGAAUAGAGGGUAUGCACGUGACGUCACCAUCGGCCAUUGUGACUGCGGUUAUGCCCACUGAGUGGCAGCAUUGGUUUUCAGCGUGAAUGCCGCGUAAAACACACAAAACACGUCCAAAACGGGAAUGAUCUUUGCGAUUGACUGUACAAAUAGAUUUGACAAGAAAUCUGAGGUAUAUUUUUACAGACUGCCGAAAGCUACAGAAAAGAGAAGCUAAUGGAUCGCUGCAAUUCACAGAAACAACUGGACUCUAGGCAGCGAAAUAUGGAUUUGCAGUUAUCAUUUUGUGUCAGUAUGCUGAAUUUUGAGGAAUAGUUCACUGGAAAAUUCUGUCAUCACCCUUAUGCAUUGCAAAUCCACUUGACUUUCUUCCAUGGAACACAAAAGUGCAGGCCUCACAGUAUGCGGUCUGUCUCCUGUAGUGCAGUGGGGUUGGAGGCGUCUUUUGGAUUUUCAUGGAUAUUUCUGGAAUCAUGAAAGCACAGUUCACCAGAGGGCAAGACUUGGCUGUCAAUGGUUAUUAUUCACCAGGGCUAAGGUUGCACUUUAUGACUACACUGCAGCAGUAUGCACACAGAACAGAUGCUUGUCACAGCAUCUAAAAGGCACAUGGGAAAACCAAUAAGGACUUUCAAAGGAGCCACUCUGCAGGGGUCCAUGAACAAACAGCCUGAUGUUGGAACGAACGAAGGAGUGAGGGAAAACUGCCAGCUGAUCAUAGUUAACUAGAUUGUUACUGUUAUCAGUGUGCUGUAUCAAAAUGAGAUCAAACUACACCUUAUUGUGGUAAAUCACAUCAUAAAAUUUGACUUUGUGUGACCUUGGAAGGAAAGUGGUGGAGCAGUUUUAAUGAGAUGGAUUUCAACCAAGUACACUAAUUUCAUUUGAGUUGAUUAGUGACAAAAAGCUUUUCUGAAACUUCUCCAUCAGUGUGAAUGAGAUCAUUUUAAAACCUUUAGCACUUUAUUUGGAGAUUAUUUGAAGUUUAAGUUCUUGGAAUAAAAUGAAAGCACAAACACAGUCUAGUCUUAGCCUCAGAUGGCCCACCCACAGACCACAGAUGCACAAAGCCUGUUCACUGACAAUCUAAUGCAUAUUGAUUUGACACAUUUUUAAAUUAAAUUUAAACAAAUUCCAUGAGACACACAGGGUUUUGUUUUAGUUCAAAAACAAUUUAUUCAUAUAAUUUCUUGAUGCAUGCUGUCCAGCCAUACUGUAUUUAUGAUCAUUCUGAGUAAUUUUAUAGAAUUAUGAUCGUUGAGAUACUUUUAUAGUU